rnacentral:misc_RNA from 1 species
UACUCUCACACUCUCUCUGAUUAUUUUAUUAGAGCGAGCGGUGGACUUGGAUGCUGCCUGGAACUUACUGUCAGGCUCAUCUCAAAUGAGUUAGUAUGACUGCUAGUUAAACAUAGUACAGCAUGAUAACAUAACCCUUGCUGUUUUAUGUCUGAUUAGGAGCCUGGCUUCCAACCAUCCUCGGACAAUGACUGAUA